rnacentral:tRNA from 1 species
GCAUUGGUGGUUCAGUAGUAGAACUCUUGUCUCCCAUGUGGGAGACCCAGGUUCAACUCCUGGCCAGUGCA